CACGGAAGCUUGAAAAUACCCAUUAAUUGGGUUUCAUGUACUCAUUAUUCGUCUCAGUACUGAAAUGUCAAACAAUGGGUAUUUUUUUAAAUACAAAUAAUGGAAUGAAAUCUUAACGCCAUUUUUGCUCCGCUUCGACGCGUUGGAUAUUUUUUCGUGAAAAAAUAAUGGAUUUCCCUUUUAUUCUAAGAAAAACAAAGAAGAAACCAGUACGCGGCUGGGGGAUUUCGGAUGAUGUUGAUCUUAUUCAGAGCAACUUCUGUGCCGCUCCAAUCAUUAAGAUCUAUGGCUGGCUGCAGGAUGAGACACCGUGUGCUACCCCUUCCCUGAUACUUUUUGCAUCGCCAGAUGAAUGGAUUUUGCUGUGUACGGAUCAAUCCACUGAGGAAAACGCCGGAUGUUAUAUAUACUAUAGUGGAAAUGCACCAUGCAAAAGACUUCAACAUUAUUAUUUGAGAAAAUUAUAUGCAUAAUCAUUUAUAUUAUGACGCGGGA